AGAGUUUGAUCCUGGCUCAGGAUGAACGCUGGCGGCGUGCUUAACACAUGCAAGUCGAACGGGCCAUAUUCGUAUGGUUAGUGGCAGACGGGUGCGUAACACGUAGGUGACCUGCCUCGGAGUGGGGAACAACUCCGCGAAAGCGGAGCUAAUACCGCAUAGGCUCGGCGAGUCGUAUCGUCGAGUAAAGGCGUAAGCUGCUUCGAGAUGGGCCUGCGGCGGAUUAGCUAGUUGGUGGGGUAACGGCCUACCAAGGCGAUGAUCCGUAGGGGGCGUGAGAGCGUGGCCCCCCACAUUGGCACUGAGACACGGGCCAGACUCCUACGGGAGGCAGCAGUGAGGAAUAUUGCGCAAUGGGGGCAACCCUGACGCAGCGACGCCGCGUGAGUGAGGAAGGCCUUCGGGUCGUAAAGCUCUGUCAGCAGGGAAGAAGUGCAUGAUGGCUAAUAUCCAUUGUGUUUGACGGUACCUGCAAAGGAAGCACCGGCUAACUCCGUGCCAGCAGCCGCGGUAAUACGGAGGGUGCGAGCGUUGUUCGGAAUCACUGGGCGUAAAGGGCGCGUAGGCGGUCUUAUAAGUCAGAUGUGAAAGCCCACGGCUUAACUGUGGAAGAGCAUUUGAAACUGCAAGACUUGAGUACCAGAGGGGAAAGUGGAAUUCCCGGUGUAGAGGUGAAAUUCGUAGAUAUCGGGAGGAAUACCGGUGGCGAAGGCGACUUUCUGGCUGGAUACUGACGCUGAGGCGCGAAAGCGUGGGGAGCAAACAGGAUUAGAUACCCUGGUAGUCC
rnacentral:rRNA from 1 species